UGGGGAAUAUUGGACAAUGGGCGCAAGCCUGAUCCAGCAAUACCGCGUGUGUGAAGAAGGCCUUCGGGUUGUAAAGCACUUUUGUUAGGGAGGAUGGUGAUUUUGAUUAAUACUCGAAGUCAUUGACGUUACCUAAAGAAUCAGCACCGGCUAACUCCGUGCCAGCAGCCGCGGUAAUACGGAGGGUGCAAGCGUUAAUCGGAUUUACUGGGCGUAAAGGGUGCGUAGGCGGUUACUUAAGUCAGAUGUGAAAUCCCCGGGCUCAACCUGGGAAUUGCAUUUGAUACUGUGUGACUUAGAAUGUGGUAGAGGGUAGCGGAAUUUCUGGUGUAGCGGUGAAAUGCGUAGAUAUCAGAAGGAACAUCAAUGGCGAAGGCAGCUACCUGGGCCAACAUUGACGCUGAGGCACGAAAGCGUGGGGAGCAAACAGG
rnacentral:rRNA from 1 species